GACUUUCUUUGACCUACAACGCCGAAAAAUCCCUCUCUAGCUUCUGCCAAUGGCAAUCAACGUUACAUGACACCAAGGGCUCUUACUAUGACCACGCUGUGCUCUUGACGGGAUUGGACAUCUGUUCUUGGAAGGAUGAACCUUGUGAUACUCUAGGCUUUGCGCCUAUAAGUGGGAUGUGCAGUACUUACAGAAGUUGUACUAUCAACGAGGACAGUGGACUAGCCUUGGCUUUCACAGUUGCUCACGAGAUAGGACAUAGUUUCGGUAUGGUACAUGACGGAAAAGGAUCCAAAUGUAAGAACGCCAGAGGGAGCAUCAUGUCACCUGUGUUAAGUGGACUGGAUGGAACUUUCAAAUGGUCAGCUUGUAGCAAGAAGGAGCUCACCAAAUUCCUGGAGUA